UACGGGGGGGGCAAGCGUUGUUCGGAAUUACUGGGCGUAAAGGGCUCGUAGGCGGCCAACUAAGUCGGAUGUGAAAUCCCCAGGCUUAACCUGGGAACUGCAUCCGAUACUGGAUGGCUUGAACGUCGGAGGAGAUGCAGAAUUCCAGGUGUAGCGGUGAAAUGCGUAGAUAUCAGGAGGAACACCGGUGGCGAAGGCGGUUCUCUGGGCAUGUCCUGACGCUGAGGAGCGAAAGUGUGGGGAGCGAACAGG
rnacentral:rRNA from 1 species